CACCUCUCCAACAAAAUCAGAAUCAUUUCAACUCUUGUUUUUAGUUAUAACUUUUUCCUUUUAUUUUCUCCCUCAAGCAUAGAAAAACCACUCCCUUGUUUCUCUUCUAAUUCUCACUCAUCACGCACAAAUGCUAGAAAAUUUUGAUCGCUCUCUUCUCAGGCAAUAAUUUACCCUAAUUUGUCUUCUCACACACAAUCCCCUCCCUCAUUUUAAGAGACGAGACUACCGACGUGCAAGCAGAGAGAGACCAACAAGCGGAGGGAUAGGCGACGGAGAGCAAUCGUUGCUAAGAUCUUCGUUGGAUUGAGGAUGUAAGGUAAUUAAAAGCUCCCCAAGCACUGUGAUAACAACGAGGUUCUUAAAGCUCUAUGUAAUGGAAUGGGUUGGAUCAUUGAAGAAGAUGGAAUAAUUUAUAGAAUGGUACUGUUCAAAUUCGUUUCUUUUGAUUGUGCAAUUUCUGAUCAAUUUUUUAAACAUUACUUUUAGGGCAAAUUUGGCAUCAUGUACUCUUCAUUUUCUUUUUAUGCACCAUUUGGACGAGUUUUAAGAAUUCUAAUGCUGGGAUUCUUUUACAGGCGUCUGUCAAAAAGGGAAAACUUGAAAUUGUUCUUUUUUUCUAAAAGAAAUCCAGUAAAGAGAUUUUUAUGCUCCUUUGGAGCUUCAAAGGGUAGAGAUUAUUGUUGUGUUGUGGGAACAUUCAGUGUAGCCUUGUCUAUGUAAUCGAAGCAAUAUACUUAACUUGUUGGUUUUCUAUUAAGAUGGAAGAUGGCUAUGCGACAUUCCAGAGAUUAAGUUGUCAUACCCAACCAAUAUUAUAUGAAAUUAAGCUGCAUUUGAAGUGAAAAUAUUAGAGUGUUUUCUUCGAUCCUUCACAUGUCUCUAGCGUAGCAUGCAAAUAUUAAGGAUAAUGCUACUGGAGGCUAUUGUCUAUAGUGACAUCCUUAAUAGAAGAAAUUCUCUUCAGCUCUAAUCAUCUACGAAUUGAGAGAAAGAGACUUUCUACAUGAUGUAAAAUAGGGGAUGAAAUGAAAGAAUAGAUAGAAAUUACAUGCAAUGAGAGUAAAAAGGGAAGGUUCUUUCGUAAGUUCAAUUAGUAGAAGUGAGGUUUAUUUGAAAUCUUCAAUCAUACUUGUACUUCCACUUUAGUUUAUUGUUUGAACGACUCAUAAGAUUUAAGUUUGUGUAUUCCCAGAGUAAUCACAACAACCAAGGCAGGGGGAGAAUGAGAGGUAGAACUUUUAGAGCUGAAAGAGAAGAUAAUAUUGGAAGAACAAUUUAUGUUUUUGACAUCGAUCACAUUGUAAGCGAAGAUUAAUGGGCUUGCAUAACUCUAUCAAUCUUUUACAAUCCAUAUUGAUACAAUUUACUUGCUUUUCGCCUAAGAUAACUGAAGGACAACUGGCUGGUAUAUUCAGCAGCUACGGACAAGUUCCUCAUUCUGAUUGUUCUUUGAUUAGUCUAUGCACAAUAUAGAUAUCGAAACUCACUAAAGAUAUGAUAGAGGUAGAUGGAAGCUGUUGUUCGAUUGAGAUGUAAUUUAUCUUCUUUAUCUAAGAAGAGAUUAUUUGUGUAGGACACAAUUUGGAGAUGAAUAUGAUAUCAUAAUACUAUGGUCAUAUUGCUAAGUUUGGCAGACUACGCUCUGAGGAGAUGGUCGUGGAGUUGUUCUGCAUCAAAUUAUAAUUAAACGAGAAGGGAUUAGAUUGUAACAUGAGGGUUUGGGGAGGGCCAUGAGAGAAAAACGAUUACCCCUGACUUACGACUUCUUUGAUUGGUGUAAUUGUUUGAUUUCCUAAAAUGUGCUUUGGUGUUAGAAUGGAGACACAACACAAGAAGACACGGUUAAUGAAAAAUUAUAUAUAAUACCCGAAAUUCAUCGUAUUUCUUUGUAAGAAUAUUCAUAUAUACUUCUUUAUUUUUUUAUACAGUGUUAAGUUCUUUUCCAAAAUACUAGGUGGUUGUACUGUGUUGCAUAUUGGUUGGUUAAUAUUAAAAAUAAGUAUAUGUAAAUUUUCGAGAAAUUCAUCUUCCACACAUGCAUGUGCCCACGUUUGUAGUUACUUAUUAUUGUAAAGAUGCAGGAGGGUACUUUUAAAAAGAUUCAUAUCCUCCAAAAUUGCUAUUGAAUUACAGACUCGUUCUAAACUCAUCAACUUGGCCUUUUUUAUGGUACAUUUCAGCCUUUCUUGCAGAGAAUCAACAACUUCUUCAAUGAGCUUGAUCAUGGAUUUCUCUUUGGCAUCCAUAUCUGUUCACGAAACACACAACUUAUAUUUCCAUUUUGAUGUCAUUGGCUCAAAACCAAGCAGAGACAACCUGUAUUAUGUAAAAGUAACAGAGUUCCAUAUGGGGAAGGUCAAUCAACAAAAGUAUGAUUUUGAUAUUUGUAUUAUGCACGCUUUCUUUUGGAUUUUGCUCACAAUGUGACUCAGACUUCCACAUGAAAGCAACAAGAAGCAUAACAUCCACCAAAGCAAGAAGUGAAGCUUAAGUGAGCAACUGGGAUGCACUCCAAGAGAAGCUUACAGCCUUUAUUUUUGAGUUCAUUCAGGUUAUCAUGAAUAUAAAAAAUUAUCUAAUUAUAGUUAAUGUCUUGGCAAAUAAGUACGUGAAUCCAGAAAUUCUUAUCAAUUGCUUUAAUUGUAUAUAAGCAAUGAAGUCAACAGUUAUUAUGGGUCCAAUUUAUAAUCCCUAACUCCAAGAGCUAUAAAAACACACACAAAACAAAUCCACAGAGUUAUAGCGGUUCAACAUGAGUUUGAGAUUUGAGUCACCUUCAAUGUAAGAGUUACUACUACUUGACGUGGCAGAUUGUCACUAUAACGAUAAAGAAGAUUAAAAAGGUUUCAUACACCUCCCUGUCUUCUCUAAUCUAAAACGCACCCCUCAACCCCUUUACCCCAAAAUCCUUUAGAAGUUUACAAGGUCAAUUGAUAGUCAAGGAAA
rnacentral:lncRNA from 1 species